GCUUGGCAACAAAAGCAGCAUCUGACAGAACUGUGCUCUGGUGGAGAGCAGCAUAGACAAGAAAAGAAGGAAGGCAGAGGGAUGAUGGCUGGACCCCGUCUACUGAUGGGGGUAUGGAAAGUGGAGCCAGGGGUAGGAAAAGGCCAGAUGAAAAAAGUCACCUUGAAUGUCAGACCACAAAGUUUUGCUAUGACGUUGUUGUAGCAAUAAGAAGUCACGUCCGGUAAUUUGUCCUGCUCUGGACUUUUUCCAAAGCGGCCAGGGAAUGAACGAGGCCAAGGAACCUAGCGCGUGAGGAGGACACACCAGGCUCCAAAUGAGGUUCCCGGCUUACUAGCUGUGUGGCUUCGGCGGAGCCAUUCGAUCGGCGCCAGAUCCCACGUCCCGGGCCUGCAUGAAGGGAUGAAUGAACGGAGGGCCGGGAGGAGGGCAAUCAGGCGCCCCCCCCCGGCCGCCGCUCCACGAGGUCAGCGACGGCCCACACCUGCCCUCGCGGCCGCCGCUCCACGAGGAGGAGAGCCGCCGGGAAGCGAGCCCCGCGGACAAGCCCGGGCUCCGAGUCGCCUCCGCCAGCCCCGCCCCGAGGCGACCCCCUCACCUGGUCUCCAAGAAGACGUUGGGCGGCUGCCAGGAGUCGGGCGGGAUGGCCGCCAUAGCGGAGCCGGCGGAAUCUUUCCCCGGCAAUGGCCACUUCCGGCGUCGAUUCGCGGGGGACCCGCCGGUGCAGGGCACACUUCCGGUACCCGCGGUUCAACCCUGUGAUGCCAAGAUUUGAAGAGUUGAGAAAAGGGAGAAGAAG